UUGUCCCUACGGGGGGCAGCAGUGGGGAAUAUUGCACAAUGGGGGAAACCCUGAUGCAGCAACGCCGCGUGAGUGAAGAAGUAUUUCGGUAUGUAAAGCUCUAUCAGCAGGGAAGAAAAUGACGGUACCUGAGUAAGAAGCCCCGGCUAACUACGUGCCAGCAGCCGCGGUAAUACGUAGGGGGCAAGCGUUAUCCGGAUUUACUGGGUGUAAAGGGAGCGUAGACGGCGAUACAAGUCUGAAGUGAAAGCCCGGGGCUCAACCCCGGGACUGCUUUGGAAACUGUGCGGCUAGAGUACUGGAGG
rnacentral:rRNA from 1 species